CAAAUAUAUCUUUCCUUUUCUCAGGCACUUUGCGCUAGUGGAGGAAAGCUGACUGACGCAGCAGUCGUGUUUGGACCCUUGGUUGCACUCUCCAGGGAAGGACGUCAUAGAGAUAGCUGAAGAGCACUGAGCUUGAGACUGGGAGGUGAGGACUUCUAUGGAAAAACUGAAAAGUAGAUCUGGGGGUACAGAUGGGGGACUUGCAAUUUCAAAAUAAGGUGGAAGACCUUCCUGAGAGGAGGAUGCACAAGUAAAGAUUUUAAAGAGAGGACAUGACGUGAGAAGACAUCUCGGAGAGGAGAGUGCCAGUCCAUGGGAACAGCCAGUGCCCAGGCUCUUGUCCAGGAGGUGACUGAGUGUGUGAGCAGAGCCCUGAAGUCUGGUGUAAGUGGUGAUGGAGAGGAGAGGAGGUGGGAAUUCCCAGUUACCUUUUGAAGAGAUUAUGAAGAAUGAAGAAAUGUUAUUGCACUACCCAUACACCUGCCAUUCCCACUCUUCUUCUGUUGAAGUAGCAUCAGCUUUCCAUCCGGAACUUCCUUAACGUUUCUCAUAAGUGUGUCACAAUUGUGAUUCUGGAACUGUAGAGAGUAUACCCAGAAGUGAUGUGCCUUUCUCAGUGCUCCAUAGGAGGUGUUCCAUGCUGUCAGGAGGACUUGAUAUGGAUGAUAAAAGGUUAGCAGAUCCAGUCAGGAAGUGUUCUUGAUUCUUCUAGAACAAGAUCUACUUUUCCGUCAUGAUAUUGGAAACAAAGCGUGUCCAGUUCUGCUGGAGCUGUCUGCCCUAGACAGUGUUGAUGAGGAAAGCAGAAGCUGUGAGCUGAACCUAACAAGUAGUGACUGCAAGAACCCGUUGGGCCUGUCCUGUAUGCUGGCGUGUGCAGGACUCGAAGGGACAUAUGUGUUCAUUCUGGCCAGCACCAUUCCUGUAGCCAAGGUGGCCAGUGACUCAGCCUCAGUCACAGGAAGCUCAUGGGUCAACCCUGAGCCUGCUGUAGAGGCAGUGGUCCUUUGAGCACUCCUCAUUUAAGAAGGCAGGGCUCUGGAAAUGGAAAUGAUGUGGUGGCCGAGGCAUGGGCCUAGCACCUCUGCUGGGUGAAAUGCUCAAGCGCACAGACAGAGCCUUUGACCUGCCUGGAUCCUGGGGCUUGUUUCUGCAAGGCAGGAACAUCAUGUGCUAAUCUGAAAAAUGACAUCAAUGCUGAGCAAAGACAUACCUGAACACCUGCUCCUCCCUUGAUUCUGUGAACUGUGUGGUGACGGGAAACACUUUCAAGUUCAGAAGCUCGAGUUCAGGUGUCAUCAGCUGCACUGAGAGCCACGCAGUAUGACUCUGCAGAUGACCCCAGCAUAGGCCAUCAGAAGGUCGAAGAGAAGGUCCACUGCAGAUCCCAGCUCUGCCUCUGACAGUCACAUCCCCCUGCCAGCUUCAUCAUCUCGGAAUGAGGUCUCUGUGGCCAGGAUAUUACAAAGCACAUGAGGAGCCAGAGCUGUGGACUUCAGCUCAACUUCAAGGUUCUUCUGGGCCCAGCCAGAGCUGCCAGUUGCAAAAGAAGGAAGAGGAAACAGACUCUUGAGAGGCUUGGACAGUGAGGAGAGAGCUCCCCCACGCCAGAUGCUGAGACACAGCAGUGCCGUGGACAGGAAGCUCCAGGGCUGGCCACUCGGUAUCUUUGUCCACUCUGCCAGGUGCUGGUGACAGUUCUGCCUGUCUCCCAUUUGUCUCUUCAGAAGAGCAAGCUCUUAAAAUGACUGGCCUGUACGACAUGAUAUCUAACUGUACAAAAGCAGUUUGUAACCUGGAGAGACAUCAUUGACUUCAGAGAAUGUUCUUGGCUUAGGCUAUAAUCCCUCAGCUUCUGCUAAAUCAGUUUGUGUUGAUGACUGACCAAGUGCAGGCCCAGACGUAGCCAAACACUGUGCAGACAGCUUCCCAGGGUGGCAGUGACCUGGGUAGGCAGAAUUGGCACUACCUGAAGGACACGUACAAAACACUGUCUUCAUGCAGGGUAUUUUAGAAAUGCAAGUAACCCUCAUCUUGAAGUUGCUGGAGAGCCCAUCUUGGCUUUGCAAUCUGACCAGGACCAAGAUGUUUCCUUUUUGCCACCCUAGAACCAAGCGACAGAGUCUUCUGGACCCUACUGCACCAGGAAAACAGGAUAGACUCCUCUGGGAAGGUUGUUUCAUGCCUGGCACCUUUGGCUUGUGACCUGAAGGGGAACUGAUUGUAUUUUAUCUGCUGAAGAAGAAAAGAUUUCUGAAACUUCCGCAUUGUGCACCCAAAUGACAGACCCCUUUCCUGUCUGAGGCUCCCAGACUGAAUCUCGGUGGGGACUUAAGUGCAGAUGGCUAGGCCUGUGCCACAUUCCCCAGCCCCGCAGGCCUGACCCAGGACACCUUGUGGACAGGGUGCAGGCCUGCCAGCAACUUGUUUUGUUCAAGACAGACUGUAUUCGAGUCUCCCCUCCCGAUCGCUUAUUAGAAGCUCUGAAAUCUUUACUAGACUUGCAUAUUUGUUUCCCUUUUGCUUUUAUAUAAAAUAUAGUUUAUGGUGUUAUAUUUAUUUUUAACUGAGAUACUGUACAUAUGUAAAUAACUUUUUUUUUAUUUUUAGAUAAGAUCUCACUAAGUUGCUCAAGCUGGCCUUGAACUUGGGAUCCAUCUGCCUCAGCCUCCCAAGCAGCCGGGAUUACAGGCUUUGUGCACUGCCAUGCCCAGCUUGUAAAUAGCUCUUGACAGGAAGAAAAUAUAUGAAUGUAAUAUUAGCUUCCUAUCAGUGAACUGAACAAAUAUAUCAUUGAAAUUUAUGCUGCAAUCUGAGUUGCUGCAAACAUAGCCCAGUUUGUUUACUUUUGAAAAAUGUGACAAAGCUACUAAGAAUGAUUUAUGGCAGGCUUUCCACUACAGUGGGUGGGACUUCUUAAGCACUCACCCUCUGCUUCUCCCCGAACUCUCCUCACAAAGAUGGCGUUGGUGUAAAGCUGAAGGAUUUUUCAUUUUUGUACAGAUACAUUGUCAACGUUUAAGAACUUGAGAGGGAAGUAGAUAACUGAGAUGCAUGGAUAUCAACUUUCAUGCUUUAGAAUACUAAAAGAUAGGAAACCAUAGUUCUGAUCAGAACUUGCCCACAAAUACCAGUGAUUCUGGGGGGUUAAAUCAUGUACUCUUCAAAUUGAUGUAAGUACACCGAACUUAGAUUUCAUGCUUUUAAAAUUUAGACUCAAAUGCUUUAGAAUUUAAACAGUUUUUUCAUUAGUUAAUAAUUCAAGGUUCUGUAAACAUUUGAUUAAACUCUGCAUGCAUAUGUCAUUGUUCUUGUUUUUCUGUUUAUCUUCUCAACAAUGGGCCCAGAGAAAAGGAAGAGUAGCCCAUGGGGGAUUUAGGAACCAGCUGCCAAGGGCCCUCUCUUCCUCUCUGAUCUUUUUUUGGUCUUUUUCUUCUUUUUUUAAAUAAAAUUUCUGAAGCUA